UUAAGCGACUAAGCGUACACGGUGGAUGCCCUGGCAGUCAGAGGCGAUGAAGGACGUGCUAAUCUGCGAUAAGCGUCGGUAAGGUGAUAUGAACCGUUAUAACCGGCGAUUUCCGAAUGGGGAAACCCAGUGUGAUUCGUCACACUAUCAUUAACUGAAUCCAUAGGUUAAUGAGGCGAACCGGGGGAACUGAAACAUCUAAGUACCCCGAGGAAAAGAAAUCAACCGAGAUUCCCCCAGUAGCGGCGAGCGAACGGGGAGCAGCCCAGAGCCUGAAUCAGUGUGUGUGUUAGUGGAAGCGUCUGGAAAGGCGCGCGAUACAGGGUGACAGCCCCGUACACAAAAAUGCACAUGCUGUGAGCUCGAUGAGUAGGGCGGGACACGUGGUAUCCUGUCUGAAUAUGGGGGGACCAUCCUCCAAGGCUAAAUACUCCUGACUGACCGAUAGUGAACCAGUACCGUGAGGGAAAGGCGAAAAGAACCCCGGCGAGGGGAGUGAAAAAGAACCUGAAACCGUGUACGUACAAGCAGUGGGAGCACAGAGCAAUCUGUGUGACUGCGUACCUUUUGUAUAAUGGGUCAGCGACUUAUAUUCUGUAGCAAGGUUAACCGAAUAGGGGAGCCGAAGGGAAACCGAGUCUUAACUGGGCGUUAAGUUGCAGGGUAUAGACCCGAAACCCGGUGAUCUAGCCAUGGGCAGGUUGAAGGUUGGGUAACACUAACUGGAGGACCGAACCGACUAAUGUUGAAAAAUUAGCGGAUGACUUGUGGCUGGGGGUGAAAGGCCAAUCAAACCGGGAGAUAGCUGGUUCUCCCCGAAAGCUAUUUAGGUAGCGCCUCGUGAAUUCAUCUCCGGGGGUAGAGCACUGUUUCGGCAAGGGGGUCAUCCCGACUUACCAACCCGAUGCAAACUGCGAAUACCGGAGAAUGUUAUCACGGGAGACACACGGCGGGUGCUAACGUCCGUCGUGAAGAGGGAAACAACCCAGACCGCCAGCUAAGGUCCCAAAGUCAUGGUUAAGUGGGAAACGAUGUGGGAAGGCCCAGACAGCCAGGAUGUUGGCUAGAAGCAGCCAUCAUUUAAAGAAAGCGUAAUAGCUCACUGGUCGAGUCGGCCUGCGCGGAAGAUGUAACGGCUAAACCAUGCACCGAAGCUGCGGCAGCGACGCUUAUGCGUUGUUGGGUAGGGGAGCGUUCUGUAAGCCUGCGAAGGUGUGCUGUGAGGCAUGCUGGAGGUAUCAGAAGUGCGAAUGCUGACAUAAGUAACGAUAAAGCGGGUGAAAAGCCCGCUCGCCGGAAGACCAAGGGUUCCUGUCCAACGUUAAUCGGGGCAGGGUGAGUCGACCCCUAAGGCGAGGCCGAAAGGCGUAGUCGAUGGGAAACAGGUUAAUAUUCCUGUACUUGGUGUUACUGCGAAGGGGGGACGGAGAAGGCUAUGUUGGCCGGGCGACGGUUGUCCCGGUUUAAGCGUGUAGGCUGGUUUUCCAGGCAAAUCCGGAAAAUCAAGGCUGAGGCGUGAUGACGAGGCACUACGGUGCUGAAGCAACAAAUGCCCUGCUUCCAGGAAAAGCCUCUAAGCAUCAGGUAACAUCAAAUCGUACCCCAAACCGACACAGGUGGUCAGGUAGAGAAUACCAAGGCGCUUGAGAGAACUCGGGUGAAGGAACUAGGCAAAAUGGUGCCGUAACUUCGGGAGAAGGCACGCUGAUAUGUAGGUGAAGUCCCUCGCGGAUGGAGCUGAAAUCAGUCGAAGAUACCAGCUGGCUGCAACUGUUUAUUAAAAACACAGCACUGUGCAAACACGAAAGUGGACGUAUACGGUGUGACGCCUGCCCGGUGCCGGAAGGUUAAUUGAUGGGGUCAGCGCAAGCGAAGCUCUUGAUCGAAGCCCCGGUAAACGGCGGCCGUAACUAUAACGGUCCUAAGGUAGCGAAAUUCCUUGUCGGGUAAGUUCCGACCUGCACGAAUGGCGUAAUGAUGGCCAGGCUGUCUCCACCCGAGACUCAGUGAAAUUGAACUCGCUGUGAAGAUGCAGUGUACCCGCGGCAAGACGGAAAGACCCCGUGAACCUUUACUAUAGCUUGACACUGAACAUUGAGCCUUGAUGUGUAGGAUAGGUGGGAGGCUUUGAAGUGUGGACGCCAGUCUGCAUGGAGCCGGCCUUGAAAUACCACCCUUUAAUGUUUGAUGUUCUAACGUUGACCCGUAAUCCGGGUUGCGGACAGUGUCUGGUGGGUAGUUUGACUGGGGCGGUCUCCUCCUAAAGAGUAACGGAGGAGCACGAAGGUUGGCUAAUCCUGGUCGGACAUCAGGAGGUUAGUGCAAUGGCAUAAGCCAGCUUGACUGCGAGCGUGACGGCGCGAGCAGGUGCGAAAGCAGGUCAUAGUGAUCCGGUGGUUCUGAAUGGAAGGGCCAUCGCUCAACGGAUAAAAGGUACUCCGGGGAUAACAGGCUGAUACCGCCCAAGAGUUCAUAUCGACGGCGGUGUUUGGCACCUCGAUGUCGGCUCAUCACAUCCUGGGGCUGAAGUAGGUCCCAAGGGUAUGGCUGUUCGCCAUUUAAAGCGGUACGCGAGGCUGGGUUUAGAACGUCGUGAGACAGUUCGGUCCCUAUCUGCCGUGGGCGCUGGAGAACGUGAGGGGGGCUGCUCCUAGUACGAGAGGACCGGAGUGGACGCAUCACUGGUGUUCGGGUUGUCAUGCCAAUGGCACUGCCCGGUAGCUAAAUGCGGAAGAGAUAAGUGCUGAAAGCAUCUAAGCACGAAACUUGCCCCGAGAUGAGUUCUCCCUGACUCCUUGAGAGUCCUGAAGGAACGUUGAAGACGACGACGUUGAUAGGCCGGGUGUGUAAGCGCAGCGAUGCGUUGAGCUAACCGGUACUAAUGAACCGUGAGGCUUAACCUU
rnacentral:rRNA from 1 species